UUCAGGGAGGUAGUGACAAUAAAUACCUUACAGAGGUCUCGUUAACCGAGAUCUCUCAAACGGAAUGAGUACAACGUGAAUCCUUUAACGAGGAUCGACUGGAGGGCAAGCCUGGUGCCAGCAGCCGCGGUAAUUCCAGCUCCAGUAGCGUAUAUUAAAGCUGUUGCGGUUAAAAAGCUCGUAGUUGGAUAUCAGUGCGUGUCCGGUCCGGUAUGCCUGGCGGCGGCGCUCGCGCGUCACUGCUGGGCUCCCAAAUAUCGGCUGGCCGCAUUCAAUCGUGCCGGAUCCGUCGCCGGGCCGUUCUUCGGAGGGGCCUGGUGGCGACCGGCGACGUUACCUUGAACAAAUUAGAGUGCUCAAAGCAGGCUCUGAAUGCCUGUAUACAUAUUCAUGGAAUUGGAGAAUACGUCCCUGGCUCGAUUUGGUUGGUUUUGAGAGUCGAAGGGAAAUGAUUAAUAGGGACUGACGGAGGCAUUCGUAUUGCGACGCGAGGGGUGAAAUCCUGUGACCGUCGCACGACGAACUACUGCGAAAGCAUUUGCCGAGAAUGUUUUCAUUAGUCAAGAACGAAAGUUAGAGGUUCGAAGGCGAUCAGAUACCGCCCUAGUUCUAACCGUAAACGAUGUCGACCAGCAAUCCGCAACGGUCACUACACGGACUGUGCGGGCAGCUUCCCCGGGGAAACCAGAGUUUUUGGACUCCGGGGGAAGUAUGGUUGCAAAGCUGAAACUUAAAGGAAUUGACGGAAGGGCACCACCAGGAGUGGAGCUUGCGGCUUAAUUUGACUCAACACGGGACAACUCACCAGGCCCGGACACCGUAAGGAUUGACAGACUGAUAGCUCUCUCUUGAUUCAGUGGGUGGUGGUGCAUGGCCGUUCUUAGUUGGUGGAGUGAUUUGUCUGGUUUAUUCCGAUAACGAACGAGACUCUGGCCUAUUAAACUUGACACUGUCAGUCUCUUGUGACUGCGGUGGGCUUC
rnacentral:rRNA from 1 species